rnacentral:rRNA from 1 species
CCUACGGGAGGCAGCAGUGGGGAAUAUUGGGCAAUGGGCGCAAGCCUGACCCAGCAACGCCGCGUGAGGGAAGAAGGCUUUCGGGUUGUAAACUUCUAUGACCGGGGAAGAACAGAACACUGUACCCUUAAAAAAAGCCACCGCUAACUACGUGCCAGCAGCCGCGGUAAUACGUAGGGGGCAAGCGUUGUCCGGAUUUACUGGGUGUAAGGGGCGUGUAGACGGGAAGGCAAGUCAGAUGUGAAAUCCGGGGGCGCAACCCCCGAAUUGCAUUUGAAACUGUUUGUCUUGAGUACUGGAGAGGUAGACGGAAUUCCUUGUGUAGCGGUGAAAUGCGUAGAUAUAAGGAGGAACACCAGUGGCGAAGGCGGUUUGCUGGACAGCAACUGACGGUGAGGCGCGAAAGCGUGGGGAGCAAACAGGAUUAGAUACCCGGGUAGUC